GUGCCUCCCGGCUGCGUUCCCCUCCGCGGGCACGGCUGGGGGCCCGCCGCGGCUCGGCCCAGACCCCCGCGAAAGCUCGAGUCGCCUGCAGAACCGUGGCGGGAAGGCGCCCCAGACGCGCACCGGGCGGCGGGCGCGGUGGCUGCAGGUGCUCUGAGAAAUCCCGCGCGGGUCCUGCCAGUUUCUCAGGGUCUUGGAAACGGAAAACCUAGAAAAAGCUGGAGCGCUCUGGGGUGAUGGCCCGUUUGACCUCCAACCACUGGAGCUCGGCUCUACAUGAGUCUGCCGAACCCAUGAAGUUCGGGGCGAAUGCCUUUCCUUUCCCUGGCGCAAAGCCGGUGAUAGAAACCAAAGUAACAGCUGAGGAGGAAGCCUGGAUUUAUCACAUCUUAGCAGAUCACUGCACGUGUGGUCGGGAGUAUGGAGUUGCCAGUAAAACUGAAGGUCUGAGGCCAAAUUCUAGCAAAAGAGUGCCAUUCCUGAUAAUACUUUGUCAGGACGGUAAAGCAGUCCGGUAUCUUUUGAGUGGAAAGGUGUGGGACGAGCUGGCUCUUCUGUGUUUCCAGGUUUGCUACAGAUGGUUGAGAGAAGGGCUGGUGCGAAGACAGGAAUCGAAAAGACAGAUGUAACCUUGAGUUCUGUCACUUUGGGCUCAGCAUCCUUUCCUGUUAAAUAAUGGUGAGAAAGCCUAGCCCACUGAUUUCGAGAAUUGAACGUUAGCCAAUCUGGCACAGAGCCUGACCUAAGAGUAAGCACCCAGCAGUUGAACCUGAUCUCGCCCUUUUGCCAACUGGCUUGCUCAAUGUCGUGUUGCGAGGUGGGCCGCAGGGGACUUAUUAUAGUACAGAAUCGUAAACAUGUCUCGGUAUGAGUUUUUUGUUGUUGUUAACUAAUUUUUAACCGAAAAAGUAAAGAGCAUGGCGGAUUUAAAAAAAAUCCGUAAGUAGCAAGGAGUGCAAAGUAAGUUUCUAAAAGUAACUUUCUAAAGGAACAAACUUCCCCACCCAAAACCUUCAUUUCGUUGGUCGGUUACCCAGAAGCAGUUACUGUUACAUGUUUCUCUUUCUGGGUAUAGUCUGAGCUCACGCGGCAUAGGUAUGUGUUUUACAUUUGGCCUUUAUUUUAUUUGUUUACAUAAUUUCUUAUAGAGAUCAGCCUAUUUCAGCAUGUGUGCAUACAUUGUAUUCUUUUGGGGAGCUGUGUGCAAUCCCAUUGUAUGAAUUAAUGAUAUUAACAUUUAUUAACAGUCCCCUGUUACUGGACAUAGGAGUUGUCAUCAGCCAGCAGCAAUGCCAUCAUGCAUGCUGUUCAUUCCUUCAACGAUUAUUUUUUGAACUGCAAUUAGCCUGGCGGUGUACAAAAUGCAGUAGAUAAGAGACACGGGGUUUCUCCCAUCAACAAGUGGAUUUUGUAGUAUGUCUUUAUACAUUUGUCUUUGUGCAAAACCAGGAACAUAUCCUUAUAAGAUGUCUACCCAGGUAUUCCAACAUCAGGAGCAAUAAACUAAAUUCAGCAACUACUAAAUACAAACACAACCUUAGGUCCUAUGAAGAGUACAGUUCAAAUGAGGCAUUAAACGUAUAAAUGUGUAGAGGUAACUAAUAAUAAAAAAGUGAAUGAUUUACCGAUUUCAUUUUAGCUGCUUUUUAAAAGUAAUGUCUAGGGGCGCCUGGGUGGCUCAGUCGGUUAAGCGUCUGACUUUGGCUCAGGUCAUG